CGGGUGAGUAACGCGUGAGGAACCUGCCUCAAAGAGGGGACAACAUUGGAAACGACUGCUAAUACCGCAUAAGCCCACGGCUCGGCAUCGAGCAGAGGGAAAAGGAGCAAUCCGCUUUGAGAUGGCCUCGCGUCCGAUUAGCUAGUUGGUGAGGUAACGGCCCACCAAGGCGACGAUCGGUAGCCGGACUGAGAGGUUGAACGGCCACAUUGGGACUGAGAUACGGCCCAG
rnacentral:rRNA from 1 species